rnacentral:rRNA from 1 species
UCAUACCGCGUGUGUGAAGAAGCCUGAGGUUGUAAAGCACUUUCAAUAGGAAGGAAUACCUAUCGGUUAAUACCCGGUAGACUGACAUUACCUAUACAAGAAGCACCGGCUAACUCCGUGCCAGCAGCCGCGGUAAUACGGAGGGUGCAAGCGUUAAUCGGAAUUACUGGGCGUAAAGCGUGCGUAGGCGGUUUGUUAAGUUAGAUGUGAAAGCCCUGGGCUCAACCUGGGAACGGCAUUUAAAACUGGCAGACUAGAGUUUAAUAGAGGGGAGUGGAAUUUCAGGUGUAGCGGUGAAAUGCGUAGAGAUCUGAAGGAACACCAGUGGCGAAGGCGACUCCCUGGAUUAAAACUGACGCUGAGGUACGAAAGCGUGGGUAGCAAACAGGAUUAGAUACCCUGGUAGUCCACGCCGUAAACGAUGUCAACUAGCCGUUGGUUCUAUUCGUAGGAUUAGUGGCGCAGCUAACGCAUUAAGUUGACCGCCUGGGGAGUACGGCCGCAAGGUUAAAACUCAAAUGAAUUGACGGGGGCCCGCACAAGCGGUGGAGCAUGUGGUUUAAUUCGAUGCAACGCGAAGAACCUUANCUACCCUUGACAUCCAGAGAAUCUGUGAGAGAUCGUAGAGUGGCUUCGGGAACUCUGAGACAGGU